rnacentral:lncRNA from 1 species
UCCCCUGCUACUUCAGUUUCAAAUAUUUGUUGAACAUUCUUUGUUUCUUUACCAGAUCGUCGGCCUCCCCUGCUACUUCAUUUUCAGAUAUUUGCAACUUGAUUUGAACAUUCUUUGUUUGUGACAGAGAGCAUGGGGUAUAGUUUUUUUAAAGAGACUGAGAUCUAUGAAAUUACUUCUCUGAAAAUAUGUAAUUACUUCCCUGUAAUAUAUUUGAAUGUGGUGUUGCAAGUUCUGAAACAAAUUUAUGUGAAAUGAUUUCUGGAAUAUAUGUGAAUUUAUAUUUCAAUAUGGUGAAACUGACAAUUUCAGUCUGUGGAAGUGUUAUAUAUUUCUGAAAAUGGUUGGAAUGAUUUUCAGUGAGAUAAGAAUUGAAAUAGUUGUGUGUAGUUGAGCUGUGCAAAAAAUGUGUAACUAAUAUUUCAAUGUAUUGUUGCAAGUUGUGAAACUAAUUUCUUUGAAAUAUAUGAAAUUACUUCUCUGAAAUACAUAAAACUGAUGUUUCUCAUAUUUGUAACUUGUUAUUUCAGUGAGAAAUUACUUCCCUGAAAUAUAUUUCAAUGUGGUGUUGCAAGUUGUGAAACUAUUUUUUGUCCAAAUAUAUGAAAUUACUUCUCUGAAAUAUAUGAAACUGCUAUUUCAUAUAUUUGUAACUUGUUGUUUCGGUGAGAAAUGUAUUGAAAUAUAUGGAAUUACUUUCCUGAAAUAUAUUUCAAUGUGGUGUUGCAAGUUGUGAAACUAUUUUUUGUCCAAAUAUAUGAAAUUACUUCUCUGAAAUAUAUGAAACUGCUAUUUCAUAUAUUUGUAACUUGUUGUUUCGGUGAGAAAUGUAUUGAAAUAUAUGGAAUUACUUUCCUGAAAUAUAUUUCAAUGUGGUGUUGCAAGUUGUGAAACUAAUUUCUGUGAAAAUAUAUGAAAUUACCACAUUGAAAUAUAUGAAACAGCUAUUUGUCAUAUCUGUAACUUGUUAUUUCAGAAAGUGAGAGAGGUUUGUCCUUUGUGAAAAAUGUGAAACUGGGAUUUCAAUGUGUUGUUGCAAGUUGCAAAACUAAUUUCUGUGAAAAUAUAUGGAAUUAGAUCUCUGAAAAAUAUGAAACAACAAUUUCUCUUAUCUGUCAUUUGUUAUUUCAGUGAUAUAUGUAUUGAGAAAUUACUUCCCUGGAAUAUAUUUCAAUGCGGUGUUGCAAGUUGUGAAAAUAAUUUCUGCCAAAAAAAUAUGAAAUUGCUUCUCUGAAAUAUAUGAAACUGUUAUUUCUCUUAUCUAGCAUUUGUUAUUUAAGUGAGAUGUGUAUUGAGAAAUAUGAAAUUACUUCCCUGAAAUAUAUUUCAAUGUGUUGUUACAAGUUGUGAAAGUAAUUUCUGUGGAAAUAUAUGAAAUUAGAUCUCUGAAAAAUAUGAAACUGCUAUUUGUCAUAUAUGUAAUUUGUUAUUUCAGUCAUAUAUGUAUUGAAAUGUAUGAAAUUACUUCCCUGGAAAUAUAUGUAAUUACUUUACUGAAAUACAGAAAUAUACAUCACUUACAUGGCUCAGCUACACAUAGAUAUGUGAAAUUUAUAUUACAAUGUUGUGUAACUAGACUAGCCUAUGCAAGUGUUAUAUGCUUCUUAAAAGGAUUGCAAUAUUUUUUGAAAGAUUUGAAAUGAUAUUUUAGUUAGGUAUGAAUUGAAAUAGCUAUGUGUAGCUAAGUUGCAUAGGCUAAAAUAUGAAAUUGACAUUUAAAGUGAGAGAGGUUGAUCCUUUGAAAAAUAAGCUGAUAUUUUUGUACAUGUGUGAACUGUGAAGUGAGACCGGCUUCAGGAGCUAGAAUCACGUGGGUAGGCCCAGCUGGUCAAAUCACGUGGGUGGGGACCAGCUGGUGGGAUACAACGGUUUAAAUGAAGUAAUGUGUGCAAUACAGAGAUACAUCUUAUGACAACUUUUGAGGUGGCAAGAUUCCAUUGGUCAGAGAAGCUCUGGUAGAUCCCGGGAACGGUAAAAAGCGGUUUGCGAAGAGACGUGCCCAAGCCGCCUGAAAAAAGGAAAAGAAAAAAAAUGUGAUGGCCGUCUUCGGUCGCCUGUGCCACCGCCCGCCAACGCCCGGCCGGCUGCCUGUCCGUUCGACGCCCGACCGGUCGGGUCCGACCGACUGGGCACCCCUCGAGCCACCGGAGGCUCGGAGGCUGCACCCAGUGGGCAGGACCCGCCGGAUGCAAGCUGGCAGCCGGCCGUCAUCAUCAACACUUGCCUCGUCUACACGAAAACCAAUGUGAGCUCUUCACCCGCAUACUUUCGCACCACGUGCAUACAUGGAUAACCUCGAGCGACGCUCGGGGACCACCUUCGCCUUUAUUACAGUUGCAUCAUUGUUCGCUCCAGCGCCGACUAGUCUUGGUCCGAAGGCUGGCCGCUUGGCCCGAUACACUCGUUCGCGUAGACGGCUUAGUAGCGCAUACGGUACCAAAGGUCCACUCUCAGCCACAAACCGCAGCACGGCUGUCCGGCAAGCGAGAGCAAAAGCCGGAGGUCACCCCACGCGAAAAAUGUCCGGGAGAAGACGGCUUGGGCAUCUCGGCCGUUUCCCUUAUGAGCAUGUACUCGGUCAAAUCCGCUCCUAUAGUCCGUGUAUUGUAUACUCCACUCCUAUAGAUCUCGGAAGGUCUUCGUAAUAGCUAUAGACCGGCUUCGGACUGUCUACCUAACAAGAGGCAAAGCCAAAGAGCGGAGGGGACAUGAAAAAAA